rnacentral:pre_miRNA from 1 species
AAUAAGUGUAGUUUUAACACUGUUCAUGCUCAAUUCGUCUUAUUUAAAAAACAAUUAUGAUUAGUAUUUUUGUUGUUAUUAGAUGAUAAUACAUAAAUAGUGUGACUAAUAUUUUUAAUUUUUUUCAUAAAAUUUUUAAAUAAGACGGACGGUCAAAACGAUGGACACGAAUAUCUAUGUCUGUAUUUAUU